CAAAACUUUUGGCCACGACUGUACAUCAGCCUCAGCUACAGGUGAUAUCAUAGUGAUAUUUGUAUACUGAAUUGUGAUUGGUUCGUCUCGUAACUCUUUCCAAGCAUUGACACUUCCUUCAGGUGUCACAAAGCUCAAGACAACCCAAUAUAUAUAUUUACUUCCUCUUUUGACAGACACUCUCUUCUGUGUUUGUCUGUAUAUCGGACACCAAAUUACAGAUUUAUUUUCUCUUUAAAUCAGGUCAAAAAUGGCAAACAUAAAGGGCCCAUUGCUGUUGCGUCUGGGUAUCAUAAUGACGUUGGCAGGUGUCAUCUCUCUUGGCGUUAUGUUUUUCUGGUUCUCACCUUCAAAAAACUGUCCACAGCAAAUGUAAAUGCCCUUUCACACCAAAGAGUGUAAUGAAUAAACCUCAGUUUGAAGGAAAA